UACGAAGGUGGCAAGCGUUGUUCGGAUUUACUGGGCGUACAGGGAGCGUAGGCGGUUGGAUAAGCCCUCCGUGAGAUCUCCAGGCUUAACCUGGAAAGUGCAGAGGGGACUGUUCAGCUAGAGGAUGGGAGAGGAGCGCGGAAUUCCCGGUGUAGCGGUGAAAUGCGUAGAGAUCGGGAGGAAGGCCGGUGGCGAAGGCGGCGCUCUGGAACAUUUCUGACGCUGAGGCUCGAAAGCGUGGGGAGCAAAC
rnacentral:rRNA from 1 species